rnacentral:tRNA from 2 species
GCCCGGGUGCCGGAACUGGUAGACGGAGGCGCCUUAAAAGCGCCGGCCCGAGAGGGCGUGUGGGUUCGAGUCCCACCCCGGGCA